UACGAAGGGUGCUAGCGUUGCUCGGAAUCACUGGGCGUAAAGCGCACGUAGGCGGCUUUUUAAGUCAGGGGUGAAAUCCUGGAGCUCAACUCCAGAACUGCCUUUGAUACUGAGAAGCUUGAGUCCGGGAGAGGUGAGUGGAACUGCGAGUGUAGAGGUGAAAUUCGUAGAUAUUCGCAAGAACACCAGUGGCGAAGGCGGCUCACUGGCCCGGUACUGACGCUGAGGUGCGGAAA
rnacentral:rRNA from 1 species